ensembl:lncRNA novel transcript, antisense to NRXN3
GAAGAAGGUGACAAGACUAGAUCUCAUUCUCUGAAAAGCGUUUUCUGGCUUCUUCUAUUGACUAGACCAUAUAUGAGGCCACUUCCUAGAGUCUAUUGCACCAUCGAUGCUGAAUUUCUCUGAUUUGGACCUCAGCUCUGCCAAUUUCAACCUGGGAGGCAGCACCUUGGCCAGCAGACUUAGAAUUCUGGUGCUAUUGACCAGGCUCCACAUGAAGACUGGACAGCAGGAAAAAGCUAUCACAGCUGAGGAAAGCUGCAUGUUGAACAGAUGACUUAAACUCCUAUUUUCUGAUUCCAAGCUCACCAAAACAACUUUCUGAUUAUAAUUUAGCUUCUCUACAAAAAGGAAAAGUACAAGUGCAAGUCAUGCUGACAGGAGAGCUCAGGUCUUCUGAGAUUUUAUUUCUUAUUCUACAUUAGUAAACUGACAUUAUGGUUUUCUACAUCAGUGUCUUGUAGCUUGACUAAUGCUGGAUCAAUGCCUGGGAGGUAAAGCCACUCUUGAUGUGCUGGUCAAAACUGCUGAUCAGGAUUCUGACUCUGCAAGGUUGCUGUCCAGGCUGAAACCAUGAAGAAGUCAUCAUGGUAAGGUGACCCAGUUGCCCUUUCCUAGUUGACACUUGCCCCUACAUGCCCCAGUUGCCCUUUCCUAGUUGAAACUUCAGUUAUCUCUGUGUGUAUCUUCAUUCAAACUGCAGGCCUCUGUGCAGUUAUAGCAGUGAACAGAGCAGAAACUAUCCCAGAGGAGGCACUUGCCUUAGUGCAGCGUCAUUAAAAAAAGGUGUGGAAGUGGAUAUUGAGAGAUGCUGUCAUUAAAUAACACCUUCGCCACUAAUUAAUUACAUGACUUUAGAAAAGUCACAACCUCCUCAAGCCUAAAAACCCACAUCUAUAAAAUGGGAAUAAUGUUGCCAAAUGAAUCCCUUCAACGUUUGUUCCCUUUCAAGGAAGCUGCCACAUAAAAAUGUAUGAAUCGUGGGCAACUGAAAUUCUCUUUUUCUCCAAGGCAAACACACAAAACUGUAUCUCAAAACUGCAGGAUAUCAGGCCGGGAGACAUGGCUCACACCUGUAAUCC